rnacentral:rRNA from 1 species
UCUGGGUUGCAUGGCUAUGUGCCGUUGCUUUUGGCUCGGUUGCGAUCGUGUCAUGACGAAACGGUUUCGUUGCUGUGCAGUCUUUUUGCCGUGUCUGUUUUCGACAGGUGUUGAUGGACCGUGUGUCUGUCUUCAUGCUUUCAGAUCUCUUAACCGGGUGUCGGAGGCGGACGGCGCGUUUACUUUGAACAAAUUUGAGUGCUCAAAGCAGGCUUUUGGCUGAAAUUUCUUGCAUGGAAUAAUGGAAUAGGACUUCGGAUCUAUUUUGUUGGUUCGGAUCCGAAGUAAUGG